rnacentral:lncRNA from 9 species
AGAUGAGGUUGGGACCGCAGGGUCUGAGGACGGAGGCUGAUUUUUUCCAGAAUCCAAUUAUUAAAGGACAUGUGCUGGACAGGUCCCAUAUAGCCAUAGGGCUGGGGCCACAGAUAUAUUAUCUUCUUGGGAACCAGGACAGCCAGUCAGGAACCACAGACCUCUCACCUCCCUGCUACUGUCCACAUCUGUCUCACUGCCCACAGUUUCAACUCCUGCAGCUACUGCUGGAAAAAGCAAAAGAGCUGUGGGAUCCACACGGGGAACCCUAUGGGUAAUGCCCUUAAAGCUAAGACCUUCACUUCUUAGUGGAAGACAGGCAAUGCAGAGUUGGGAAUAGCGGUACCCGAGACCGUCUAGUCAUCGGCCUCCAUUCCCAGAAACGCCCAGAGGUAGGGAGACAGCACCAAGGGGCGGGAGGGCGACAAGACUGCAGCAGGCCUGGUUGUGCGCACCAGAGGGAACAGAACAAUGCACUGAAGCCCUGUCGCCAGGUCCCUGCCUUCAAAAGUCCCGGUUUCUCUGACUCACAAACGACCUCUGGAGGUAGACAAUGCGCAAAACCGCGCACAGUUCCACUCUUUCAGAAACCAACUCCAGCACCAGACUCACCCUAACUUCCGCUUUUGAGCGCAGUUCCGGAGGGGGGGGGUCCGCGGGGCUUUCUGGGAAAUAGAGUCUCGGUCAGGAGGGUUCUGGGAAUCGUAGUCCCUACUGGUCCGUAUGCGCAUGUGCAUUUCCGUCUUCACAGCACAGCUUCCAGUGCCCCACGGCGCGGGAAAGAAACAUAAUCUGUUUCAACCCCGCCCCCAAGACUGGAGGGGUCCACGAGUGAGCAACUUCAUUCAUGAAACUAUUCAUCUGCACUCUGACCCAAAGGACAUUCAUGCAUAUAUCCACCUUGGAUGCAAAAAAUGCAUCGACAACUACCAUCUGCGGACAACCCUUCAGUCUUGUACUGCUGCAAAUAAUAAAGCUGGAGAGAAGCAUGGGUCAGACAGCUGUGGACAGAGCCGAGGAAUGAAUGUACCCCUCCAUUCCCCAGGUGACCAGUGAGGAGACACAUUUCAUAAGGUUUCUGGGAGGUCCUGCCACUGGAGUAGCCUGUCUCCAUGGUCAGCUCAACAUGCAUCUUCACUCUUUCUCCUCUCCUCUCUCCCUCCCUAUCUUUCACCUCUGCUCCUUGGGACCACUUUCCCUAUUGAACACCUACACUUUUUUUUUUUUUUUCUCAGACUCUGCUUUUCAGAAGGACCCAGGCUAAAACAACCCAUUAUAAGAUGAUCCUACUUUCUUGGAAAUGCUAGAAACAUGAACAUCUAUAAGAGAGAAUCAUUCCUUGUGGUUGGGUAGCCUCCUCCCUAUAACCUAAGGUUCCAGUUUUACUUAUUCACUAGUGUGAGGGUAGAGGAGCUGGUGAACUAAGGGAGCUGGAAGAACUCUGAGGUCCAAGGACAUGUAGGUGGAGCCCUGUCCAGUCCUGAGUCUGCUGGUGACUGGGCCAUCCUAGGCAGGUGUCUCCCUCUGAGCCUCCUUCUCCUUACCUGUAAAACGGAGAUAACAGAUGCCUACUUGUACUGUGGAGAGACUCUGUGAGUUGAGUGCUUGGCCCUGUCCAGCCCCUGAUACGUGUUCAGUGAAUGGUGAGCCUUGGUCUGUAAUCACCGCUGGACUGUCCUAGAUCUAGGGUCUCCUAUUGCUUCAUAUGUGCUUCCUUAGCUUCCACAGUGAAAUGGUGAGCCCGUCACACUGCAGUGGUAGAAGAAAUUUGUGAUCAAUAGAUCCAUGA